rnacentral:lncRNA from 1 species
AGGCACGUACAUGUACCUGAGGGUGCUACCCCAAAGGAUGGUCCCUCUGCAGGUGUCACUAUAGUUUCUGCCCUCCUCUCACUGGCUAUGGAUCGUCCAAUAUGUCAGAAUGUUGCCAUGACUGGGGAACUGUCACUCACUUGAAAGAGAGUCAUUGGCUCAGAUCAUUGAGGCUGGUAAAAGAGUUAUAGAUGGUCCUACACAUCUUGCUGAUUUUGGAGCUGCACUGACCAGUGGAGGAUCACAUCAAAUUCAAGCAGUUCUUGAAUGUCCAGACAUAAUCACUUCAAGUCCACUGUGGCAGGAGAACUGGAAU